GGGUUCUAUUCCCAANCCGUGUAUACAUACCUUUGUUGCUUUGGCAGGCCGCUUUCGGGCGUUGGCUCNGGNCAACCGNGCCUGCCGNAGGACCCANACUCGUUUGUUUAGUGAUGUCUGANUACUAUAUAAUAGUUAAAACUUUCAACAACGGAUCUCUUGGUUCUGGCAUCGAUGAANAACGCAGCGAAAUGCGAUAAGUAAUGUGAAUUGCAGAAUUCAGUGAAUCAUCGAAUCUUUGAACGCACAUUGCGCCCCUUGGUAUUCCGAGGGGCAUGCCUGUUCNAGCGUCAUUAUAACCACUCAAGCCCUGGCUUGNUCUUGGGGUUCGCGGUCCGCGGCCCUUAAACUCANUGGCGGUGCCAUCUGGCUCUAAGCGCAGUAAUUCUCUCGCUAUAGUGUCUAGGUGGNUGCUUGCCAUAAUCCCCCAUUUUUUUU
rnacentral:misc_RNA from 1 species